AUUGAUCACUGAACUCUCCUGGAGACCAUCCUUCAGGGUCCCGCCCGACUUUACUUCUUGUUAGUCUUUGGGCAAAUCCUUUUUCAUUUCUUUGUUUCUUUGAUUCCACACACACACACACACACACACACACACACACACACACACACACACACACACCACAGAGAGAGAGAGAGAGAGAGAGAGAGAGAGAGAGAGAGAGAGAGAGACUCAUGUAGCCCAAGUUGGCCCUGAAGUCACGCUGUAGCUGAGGCUGAUCCUGAAUUCCUGAUCUCCUGCCUCUACUUCCUGAAAGCUGAGACUUAACUGAGCUGGGAACCAAGCGGGGCCUUCAAGCCUGCCACACAAACACCGUUCAAUGGAGCUCCGCAGCAGCUCUUCCGGGGUUUGAGUCUGACGCUUCACUGUAACGUGCCUGUCCGACCUUGAGCUGUUAUAAUAGGUUCUUAACUGGCUUCUCUAUCUCCAGGUUCUCACAGCUGGCCUGGAGCUGGUGGCUUUUCUGCUAUUCCAGGUGUGAGCUGCCAUGCCUGGGCCACCUCUAUGUUUGUACUGCAUUUCUUCUGGAUUCCUUUUCUUCUCGGAGCAGAUUCCAGUUGACGUUCAGAAGUCCUGAGAGGUAUUGGAAGCCCCUAAGGAAGAAUGGAACACGAUUAACAGCGGCCAAUGACUCAGCCUUUCGAGUAAUUCCCACCAAUGACAAGUGCCUCUUAGAGCCAUGUUGUCUAGUGAAUGUGAGCUAGAUGACAUCACAGACAUAAUCAUCAACAUUUCCAAAGUCCAAGCAGUCAAAUGAAGUAGAGAAGGUGAUGGGUGAUGUGAAGGAGGAAUUCAAUACCAAGAACUCCUCAGGAAAACCAGGCUGACACAUUGGAAAUAAGGGAGCAUAGACGUGGAAAAUCUUAGCAGUGGAAAGAACAAAAGAGAGGACAGAGUCUAAGCUUGAAGACAAAGUCAAGAACCGGAACAGAACAGCAAGAUCAAGAGGAGAUGAUAAAAGGUAUCAGCUGGGCUUGCAAGAUAUGCAGAGCAACCUGCAAAGUCCAGGUUGACCAGUUGUACGCAGAGAAGAAUGAGAAGAAUCUCAUUCUAAAUACGCAGACAACCUUCUCAAAGGAUUUUAACAAAAUUCCCCAGAGUUAGGAAAAAAAGAUGCCAAUCCACCAGGCAAGGAAAUAUUUAAUUCACCAAACGGACAAAACCAGAAAAGAACCUCCCUAAUCAGGUUGUAAUUAAAACAUUAAAUAUAUAGCCCUCCCCCAAUGUAUAUUGAGAUCAGCAAGAGAGAAACACCAAGUCACAUGCGAGGCAGGGCCAUGAGCAGAAUACUUUGAAAGCCAGAGAGGCUUGGAAUGAUGCCUUCUAGGUUCUGAAAGCCAACAACUAUCCCAAAAUACUAUUCAGCAAAGAUUUCUCUCACAAUUGAAGGAAAUAAGAAAUUCUUAUAAAAUAAAGGAAUUUCUGACAACUAAGCCAGCUCUUACUGAAGCUAUUUGAAAGAAUUCCACAGAAAAGCAAUACAAAGAAUCCGCAAGGCCACAAGAAAGAAUAAACCAACCUAAAAUAAUAAUAAGAAGGAGAAAAAGAGUCCCCAAACCACAAAAUCACCAAAAAUAUCAGCAAUAAAUACAUACAUUUAGAGUUUCAGUAAGAACUCUAAAUUAUCACUGAUCUCAAUUCCAGAGUCAAAGACAUAGACUGGAGCUGAGGAGAGCCUGGUGGUUAGAAGUACAUGCUACUCUUACAGAGAGCUUACCUUUUGUCCCCAACACCUAUGCUGGUCGGGUGGCUCACAAGUGCAGGUAACUCCAGCUUUAGGAAAUCUUAUGCUCUCCUCUGGCCUCAGCAGGUGCCUAUGCUUGUGUUAUGUACACAUAAGUAGACACACACACACACACACACACACACACACACGCGCGCGCACACUCAACCAAUAAUUACAAACCAAAUAUAAAUUGUUUUUUAAAAAUGCAGACCAGUAGGUAGGGUCAAAAAUAAAGAGCCAUCUAUUUGCUGCUUCUAAGAAACCUACCUCACCACAAAGGACAAACAGUGCUUUAGGGUGAAAGGGCAAAGAAGGGUAUUCCAAGCAAAGGGAUCUAUGAUAGAAACAGCAUAUUGUUCUCCUAAUCCUGACAAAAUAGACUGCAUACCAAAGCAAGUGAGAAAAAUGGUCACUUCAUACUGACUACCAGUCACUCAGCCAAGGGACCAGUAAUCUUCUAAACACAUAUGCUCACAAUACAUGGGCAUCUCAUGCCAUAAAGCAAGAGCUACUACAGGGAGUCACAGAUCAGCCCCAAUACAACAGUAGCAGUGGCUUGACUACUCCAGUCUCACCUAUUAAUCCUGACAAAAGUAAACAGAGAUAUAAACUAAAUGACAUCACUGGUCAAAUGGACUGAACAGACAUCUGCAGAGCAUUCCAUCCAAAUAUUGCAAAAAGCACAGUUUUCUCAGUGUCUCAUGGGACUUUAUUAGGACACAAAGCAAGUCUUAACCAAAGGAAACUUGAAAUAACUCUUUGUAUUCUGUCUGAUCACAAUACAACUAGACUACAAAUCAACGGCAAGAACACAUAUGAACUUAUACAUGUUAAACAAUACAACAUACUAUGGAGCAUGAGUGGGACCUUGAAUAAAUUAAGGAGGAAAUAAAAUAUUUCUAGGAUUGAAUGAAAAUGAAAACACAACACAUCAGAACCUAUGUGAUACAAUGAAAGCCAUCCUAAAAGGAAAAUUUACAGCUUUAAGCACUCUAUUAAGAAACCACAGAGGCCAAGAGUGCGUGCUUUUAAUCCCACGAAUUGGGAGGCAGAAGCACGUGAAUCUCUGUGAGUUUGAGACCAUCAUGGUUCACACGGUGAAUUCCAGGUCAGAGGGGCUACAUAGUGAGACCCUGCCUCAAAAAGAAAAAGGGAAAGUAACAAAACCUGCAUAGAGUGAUCUCCAUGCACGUUAAAGCUGAGGAAAGGAAGCACAGCCUAAUAACAGCCAAAUAACAAUCAACCAUUAGCAGCAGGUCAGAAAUUCAUACAAUGAACAUGAACGUGUAUCUAAAGAGUCAAUGGUGCAGAGUCGGUUCUCUGAAAAGACAGAUAUGACUGACACACGCUGAGCCAAGAGAGGACCGAAAUUAACCAAAUUAGAGGAGAAAAGGAGGCUGUUGUAAGAUGUGCUAACAAAAUUCAAAACAUCCUCGGGUCUUAUCUUGAAAACAAAUAUUCCACUAAAUUGGAAAAAUCUAAAAGAAAUGAAUAAAUUUCUAGGUACAUAUGAGUUACUAAAAUUAAGUUAAGAGGAGAGCAACAAUUUAAACUGGUUGAUAAGCAGUGAAUCAAAGCAAUAAUUAAAGAAUUUAAAAAGAGCUUAAAAUUUAAACUUAAAAAGAGCUCAGGUCCAGGUGGAUUCACUGGUGUGAAUUUCAACAGUUCUUCAAAGAACUACCGCCAAUGCCUCUCAAACUAGUCCAUAAGUUAAGAAAGGGAGGGGCAGUAACAGUCUCAUUCUCCAGCGUUGGUAGUGUCUGAUACGAACAGCAGGUAAAGAAGAUACAACAACAACAAAAAGUUACACAUGAAUUUGUCUGAUGAACUUAAACACAAAAAUUCCCAACAAAACAUUGUUAACCAAAUUCAAGAACAUAUCUAAAAGAUUAUUCACCAUGAUCAAGUUUUCUUUAUUCCAUAAAUGCAGGGCUGGUUUAAUAUAUGUAAAUCAAUAAGUUAAUAAGUUAUGUAAAUGGGUUCAAGGACACAAAUCACUGGAUCAUCUCUAUAGAUGCAGCUUUGACAAAACCUAACACCCUGUUAAAAAGUCCUGCAGAAACUAAGAAUAGAAGGCAAGGAGCAUAUCUCAACAUAAUAAGAGCUUUAUAUGACAUACCUACAGCUAACAGCAUAUUAAAUGGGGAGAAACCAUUCCCUCUGAUAUCAAGAACAAGACGAAGGUGCCCACUCCCUUUAUCUGUAUUCAUUAUAGUGUUGGAAGUCUUAGCCAGAGCGGUAAGACCAGGGAAGAAACUCAAAGUGACACAUUGAGAAAGGAAGAAGUCAGACUGUCUCUCAUUUGCAGCUGAUAUGAUUCUAUUUGAUUUGGGUCUCUUAUAGAUAUCUGGUCUAAAAGUCAGAUGACUUUUAAAACUAAUGAUGAUCUUCAGCAAAGUAGCAGGGCACAAAAUUAAUACAUGAAAACUACUCGUCCUCCUAUACAUACCAAUGACAAAUUGUAAAAGGAGUUAGGGAGACAGUCCCAUUCACAGCGAAACAGAACCAAACACCCUUGGGAAAAACCAACUAACCAACAUUGCGAAAGAUCUCAGCAAUGAGAACUUGAAAGCAAUGAAAAGAAAUUGAGGAAGAUACCAGAACAGGAAAGACUCCCCAGUCUCAUGGGUCUGAAGAAUCGAAAUUGUAAAAACGGCUGUUAUUGAAAACAGUAUACAGAUUCAAUGCACCCACAAUCAAAUUCUAGGGACAUUAUCCAGAAAAAUAUUUUCAAAAAUUAAAAUUCCAGCGGGAGCACAAGAAACUCGCAUAGUUAAAACAACCCUAAAAGAGAUUACGGCUCAAUAUCUCACUGUACCUGAUUUCAAGUUUACGCCGAAGAACCAUAAUGAUAAAGGCAUGACCCAGACCAACGCACUAGAACACCCACUUAAAAGGCCUUACAACUACAGCUGUCUAAAUUUCAACAAGGACAUCAAAAACCCACUUUGAAGAAUAAACAAGCUCCUCAACAAAUGGGGUUGGGGAAGCCAGAGAGAUGCACAUGUCGAAAACGAAACUAAACCCUUAUCUUUCAACUCACACGAAAACCAGCUCUGCGAGGAUCAAGGCCCUCUUGACAGAGCUGAAACUACCAAACAUCUAGAAGAAAAAGCAGAUAAAACAAGUCAAGCUGGAGGCCAGACCGGAACGUUAUCAACGGACGUCUUAUUGGUAAGAAAACAAGGAUAAUACUCGAUAAAUGGAAUCUCAGGAAAUCAGAGCUUUUGCAUAAGCAAGGAAACUGUCAAUCAAAUGAAGUAACAGCGUGCAGAGUGGGAGAAAACCUUUGCCAGCUAUAAAUCUGACAUACAAUUAGUAUCUAGAAUAUACAAAAAACAUCAAGAAAAAUUUUAAAAAUCAAGGAAACAAGCCACUAAAAAUAGAUGGGUCAUGGAACUCAACACAGUUCUCAAAAGAAGAAACAUAAGUGAGUAUAAGACAUUUAAAGGGGUGUUCAAUAUCAUUGGCCAUCGGGAAAAUGCAAACAAAAAGUACUUUGAGAUCCAUCUCACUGCAGUCAGAAUGCACAUCAUAAAGGCAAGAAUGGUAACGCACGGAGGCAAGGAUAUGGGGAAGAAGCAUCCCUUCGUCAUUGUUGCUGGGGUGCAGACUCCCUUAGCCAUCAGCGAAUCAGUGUGGAAGUUCCUCAGAAAGCUAAAAAUAGGGGUAGUGUGUGAUGGAGCUUUGCCACUCCUGAACACAUACCCCAAGGACUCCAUAGCCCCAGUGGAGGGAUCCGCUCAUCCCUGUCCAUUAUUUCUCUGUUCACAGUGACUAGGAAAUGGUAUCAGCCUGUGUGCUCCCCGCCCGAUGGGUAGAUAAUGAAAGCGGAAUACACACUCACAACAGAAUUUUAUGCAGCUAGUAAGAAAAAAAGAAAACAAGCCAGGCAUGCUAGCACACACCUUUAAUCCUAGCACUCACAGGGCAGAGGAAGGUGGAUCUCUGGGUUCAAGGCCAGCCUGGUCUGCAGAGCAAGUUCUAGGACAGCCAGGGCUACACAGAGAAACCCUGUCUUGGAAAACAAGAAACAGCAAAAAAGAAAUCAAAACAAAACAUGUGACAAUAACAACCAAAAAAAUCCAUAAAAAUGAAAGAAAAAUACAACUGUGAAAUUUGCAAGAAAAUGGUUGGAACUAGAUAUUCUCCUAUCCUAAGUGAGGUGCCUUAGUGCUAGAAAGACAAAUACUGUGUGUACUCCUCAUAUGUGAAUCCUAGCUUAGAAUUCUUAGAUUUGUGUAUUUAAAGAACCUAGGAAGAUGGAGAGGAAUGGGUGGGAAAGAAGAGAGAAGUCUUAAGGGGAGAAGAGAUACUAGAACACAUAUGAGAGUGGAGAGGGGACACUGGGUGGGAGGGAACAGUCUAUGCAGGACGGGUGUACAAGCAAAAUGUAUCCACUGUGCAGUCUGGCCAUGCAGGAGAGCAGUGAGUUCACCAAAGCUAAAGAUGUAGGAAAACCCCACUCCUUUGAAAGCUAAUCUAAAAAUAGCAUUAAAAGUUAGAAGUGGUCUGAGCAUAGAAGCUUUGCAUAGGUAGACAAUUCCCCCCAGAAAACACAGAUUAUUGCAUGGAAAUCUCAGUAGCAGGGAUGAUAGACUUCCCUGUGAGUUAUUCACCAGAAGUCUCCAAAGCAGCACGUGUGAUUGGCAUUGUUCUUGGUCACCCACCAGAACUAGGCGGUACCAGGACGCUGUUGCUGGAGACACAAUGUACUUUGGUUGCAGGAUAUAGAGAGAUCAUGGCAGAGCUCCCUUGAGAACUUCUUCCCUGCUGAUAAGCUUUCAUAGUCCCCGAAUGUCCUGUGCAGGACGGUGAGGGAGAACAGACAUGAGUGAUAUCCUUGCAGCCAACUCUUUCGGCUACAACAUUAACCUGCCAAGCAUGCCAAUUGCCCAAUUGUUUUGGGAUCUGAUUUGAGGUCUGAUCCACAGGAAGGAAUUCAGGUCUAUUACUAUAAAACUCGCCCAAAGCCCAUAACUUUGAAGGUCAUAGACCCUAGGGAUUGCAUGCCGUCAAACUGCCUUCUAAAUAUUUGUGUGUAUAAGCAUAGCUGACUGCCACCCUUGACCUUGGCCAGAGAAGCUUUCUCUUCAGUGGUCAGCAAUUAACGCAGACACUUAUAACUGGCCAAACUGCUGAUCAUCAUUUUUUUUUUGCUCAGCUCAAAAUGGAACAUUUAAAGCAAUAUCUCCCCACCCCCAACCAAGACUCAGGGACCAUUAUGGAAGAGGGACAACAUGGCCACCGUACCUGUGGACUCACUGUAGCUGCUAUGAUUACCUAUGGGAUCAAGUCAACAAAACAGUUGACGUCCCGACAGGCAGCACCGACUCGAGUUGGUGUGUUAGCAACAAAUUCAGGCAAGAAUAGAAGAGGAAGGCUGCAUGUCGGAGGUGCCUGGGAGAACUGGGAGGAAGGAACUGAGGGUCCGUAUGACCAAAGGGAAUUGUUUUCAUGUAGGAAAUUGUCAACGAGCAGGUGAAAGUCCAUUAGAGGGAGAACAAGAGAAGAAGGAAUACAAGUUAAUAUAUAAGAAGAGAAAUGAUGGGGUUGGGGAUUUAGCUCAGUGGUAGAGCGCUUGCCUAGGAAGCGCAAGGCCCUGGGUUCAGUCCCCAACUCCGGAAAAAAAAAAAAAAAGAACCAAAAAAAGAAGAGAAAUGAUAACUUAUUUCAGGUGAUAUGAUUCGCUCUGUACAGAUGAACAUCAUGAGCAUUCUUGCAAGGACUUUUCUUACAAGCAGUUAGGAAAAGAAUAACAGAAGAUUUUCCUUUAAUAGUAAUGCCAACAAUAAAAAAGCAUAUCCAGGAAUAAACUCAAAUAUGUAAGAAUUAUGUGUUGGGAAGUGUAGCUGGAGAGAAGCUGUUUUAAGUCCAGUGUAACAGUUGUAUGUAUUUCUUUACGUCAUUUCAUCAGUGUGACGCAAUAUAAAUACAUGAGAUUUGUUGAUGUUAUUGCUGAAGUUGUUCAGGGUCUUUUCUUUGAGAUAGGUUUAUGUAGCCCAGGCUAGCCUCAAAAACAAAGUCUUCCCGUGACUGCUUCUCAAAUGGUAAUCUCCUUGAGGAAGCAAAAAAAAACCUACAAAAUUCAUAGGUUCAUCGAGAACAAUGAGGAGAAAAGGUUGGUAGAGCACUUAGUUGCUCAGGGAAAGCCUUGGGUCUAACCUGUAGACCACAUGAACUUGGCAUGGUGGUACAUAGCCGUAAUCCAGGACCUGUGAAGUGGAGCAGGAUGAUCACAAGUUCAAGGUUAUUUUUCAUUACAUAGAAUUCAGUUCAGCCUGGUACAAAAGACCCUGGUGUGCUGGCUCACAUCUGUAAUUCCAAUACUCUGGAAGCUGAGGCAGGAGGAUUUCUGGGAGUUCUAGAACACCAUGAGCGAUAUAAGAAGUCCUCACAACAACAGCAACAACAAUGACAGUGACAAGGACAACAACGAAAGAGCUCGGGAAGAAAGGAGAGCCACCCAGCCCUGAAUGCCGCGGCCCCUCCUCACCCAGUGCAGUCAGGCCCUGCUUCACCCAAGGCUCCCAUGGAAGCAGGUCUGAGACCGUCUUUAAAGGUUCAUUCAUCGAAGGAGAGAAGCACCGGCGAGAAAGGAGGGCUGAUUGAGGUAACCUGCAGAACUCCUCAGACUCCGAGUGGGAACAGGGCAGUCAUUCUCAGUAUCAUCACAGGUGGAGAGCAAACCCUGUCCAGCCUUGACUCGGACAGAGCUGAGUAAUGCAGAAAAAUGGCCUCGAAGCGGCUACUGUGUGCAGUCUUCCAUCUGGGACUCCCUUGUUGCUGCUGCUGUAUCUGUGUACAUGAGUACUUAGACACACCAUGUGACCCUGCCACUCACACGUGACCAGCUAUGUGAAAUGAACAAGUACUUCAAUAAAUAAGUGUGACACAAAGGAAGAGAGA